GCAUCCCCGCAUUAUCGCCAAAGUUAUGGGCCUGUGCCCCACUGUGAAAGAGCCCAAAGUGUGCACGGAUUGCAAGGUUUUCAUGAACGACGUGAGGGAUAUGCUGAUCGGACCUGUCGUCAAGGCUACUGCCAUUGCGAAAAUGAAGCAGAUGUGUGGGAACCUCCCUGUACAGAUCUCGCCCUACGUGAGUCUCUUCUUAUGUUACUUACCAAUACUAUAGUGAGGUGCAAAAUUCGUGGCGCAACUUAUUGUCAAAUGUGAGGCGUGCUGACAAAAUGAGUUAGUUCUCACAUUUUAGCCUCAUGGAAAUUAAUGCAUCAGCUUUAUAGGUGGAGUUUGUACAAUUGUAAGUAUGGAAUAAUAAAAGACACUGUAGACUUGAACAAAAUGGCGUCAAUUGAAAAUCUAUUACUUAGACCCAAGUGUCGAUUUUGGGCUAAUAUCUUCAUUCUUGGAUUGCAAGAAGUAACUCAUUUUGUCAGCACGCUUCACAAAUAUCUCUUCAA